rnacentral:rRNA from 1 species
CACGUAGGGUGCGAGCGUUGUCCGGAAUUAUUGGGCGUAAAGAGCUCGUAGGCGGUCCGUCACGUCGGAUGUGAAAUUCCAGGGCUCAACCCUGGACCUGCAUUCGAUACGGGCGGACUAGAGUUCGGUAGGGGAGACUGGAAUUCCUGGUGUAGCGGUGGAAUGCGCAGAUAUCAGGAGGAACACCAAUAGCGAAGGCAGCUCGCUGGGACGUUACUGACACUGAGGCGCGAAAGCGUGGGGAGCGAACAGG